rnacentral:rRNA from 1 species
GUGCCAGCCGCCGCGCGGUAAUACAGAGGGUGCGAGCGUUAAUCGGAUUUACUGGGCGUAAAGCGUGCGUAGGCGGCUGAUUAAGUCGGAUGUGAAAUCCCUGAGCUUAACUUAGAAAUUGCAUUCGAUACUGGUCAGCUAGAGUAUGGGAGAGGAUGGUAGAAUUCCAGGUGUAGCGGUGAAAUGCGUAGAGAUCUGGAGGAAUACCGAUGGCGAAGGCAGCCAUCUGGCCUAAUACUGACGCUGCGGUACGAAAGCAUGGGGAGCAAACAGGAUUAGAAACCCCAGUAGUCC